AGUUGGGUAAUGGAAGAGAAGCCUUCAUGCAGAUAAGAUUCUUAGCCAGACUAGGUUUAUCCUUUGGGAACUGGGAGAAUUCCAUGACAUUUAUAAACAAUCAUCCUUAUCUGAGUAUUGAUUCUGCAGGAACCAUCAACAGCUUCUUUAACUUACAACAUCUAAAGACACUCCUUCCCUAACGAGCCAGCUUGCAGGAACAAGACGUUCCUCACCUUCCCAAGGCAUCCUCUGAACCUCCAGAGUCAGAGGUCCUUGGCUCUGUGAACAUGACCUUUUGUGUCAAAUUUAAUUAUAUAAGGAAAAAAAUCGAUCUUCAGUUAAGGGUGUUACUCCCUUUCACAGCAUAUUUAAAAAUCAGACCUCAUGGUGCAGCUCUACCUGUUUAAUUCAGUCUGCAUUUAAUGUUUCCUUUCAAUUAGCUCGUGGAAUGUUUUUCAUUUGUGGAGAUAAGGUUUGGCUUGCUAUCCCAGCACACGUCACAGGAGGACCACGUAGUGUGGGAAACUUACUCUGCUAACAGCCAGUGCAAGAGUGCUUGCUUUUACCAAACAUACAAGUAAAAAGAUUUGUUCAUCAGUAUCAACCAGACUGUAAUGAUAAUUUUAUACCUUUGGGUCCCGAAAAAAAAACCCCAAAAACCAACAUCAACAAGAAAGAACUAUCUAAAGACACUCAUUCCCUAAGGAGCCAGCUUGCAGGAGGAAGACUUGUUGAGAGCACACUUCAGGCGUGUCCUUCCAGCUGGCAAAUCCCCAUUUUUAGCAGCUGAGGAGUGCAAAUGUAAAGCAGCCAGACCUACGAAUCACUUCAAUGAUCAGCAAAACAGGAGGAAAUUUAAACUUUGGAGAAAGUAGCACUGGGGAAGAGUCCAUCAAACUUACUCUUUUAGUAGGACCACUGCAUACAGCCUUCUACUCUGACUUCCACAGCUCUGGGGAAACCUCCUGGGGGCACCUGAGGCAUGGUAAUACAACAAGAGAUAGGAAAAAAUACCAUCAGAUUAUGAAAUUCUCUAUCAAGACAGUCACAAGAAAUACUGUGAAAGUUCUAGUUGCUGUGAGCCAUGCAGGUUUUAGUAGCAGGGGCCCAACUCUUCCUGACUUACAGAAGCUUUUGAUUAUUUCUUCAGCUGUGUUGCAACUGCAUGCUGACUUUGAUUAGGAGGGGGGUGAGAAGGAAAUGAACAAUUUACCACAAAUAACAGGUAUGCCAAAUAAAAGCCUUUAUUGAAGAAGGGAUUCUGAAAGAGUCAUCUUAAGCUCUUGGUGCUAAAUCAGAGUUCAGGUUUAAGAAGAUCAGAUAAUCUACCUGUGUUUCCUUUUUAAUGAAUGGAAAACCAGAAGUUUUUCCUUAGAGUAGCUUUGAACCCUUCUUUGCCCCACCACCUCUACUUCCCAGAAGACACUUAAUGUCAGUGACUGUUCUUCCCAGGUGGAGGAAGGAGGUUACAGUGAUGAAGAGCUGCCAUUCUUUUGACUUAUUUGCAGGUUUGAGCAUUCAAGUUGUGCUUGGACCAGAGUUCCUAAGCUUGUCUCACUCAGAUCAUGGAGAAGAGCAGAAGACUCUGUUGCAGCUGUGUGACUAAAAGGGUGUGGUACUUGCAAUGUACUUCAGGCAGUGCCCUAUGGAAAGGGAAGAAAUAAAACCUUA